UACGGAGGGUGCAAGCGUUAUCCGGAUUCACUGGGCUUAAAGGGCGCGUAGGAGGGCAGGUAAGUCAGUGGUGAAAUCUCCGAGCUUAACUCGGAAACUGCCGUUGAUACUAUCUGUCUUGAAUACCGUGGAGGUGAGCGGAAUAUGUCAUGUAGCGGUGAAAUGCUUAGAUAUGACAUAGAACACCAAUUGCGAAGGCAGCGCGCUACACGAGCAUUGACUCUGAGGCACGAAAGCGUGGGGAGCAAACAGG
rnacentral:rRNA from 1 species